CAGCCGCCGCGGUAAUACGUAGGGUGCAAGCGCUAAUCGGAAUUACUGGGCGUAAAGCGUGCGCAGGCGGUUUGUUAAGACAGAUGUGAAAUCCCCGGGCUCAACCUGGGAACUGCAUUUGUGACUGGCAGGCUAGAGUAUGGCAGAGGGGGGUGGAAUUCCGCGUGUAGCAGUGAAAUGCGUAGAUAUGCGGAGGAACACCGAUGGCGAAGGCAGCCCCCUGGGCCAAUACUGACGCUCAUGCACGAAAGCGUGGGGAGCAAACAGGAUUAGAUACCCCCGUAGUCCCUGUCUCUUAUAC
rnacentral:rRNA from 1 species